UCCCCAAUGCAGUCCCUCCUUGCAGCUGA
rnacentral:piRNA from 1 species